rnacentral:rRNA from 1 species
GAUGAACGCUGGCGGCGUGCCUAAUACAUGCAAGUCGAGCGAACAGAUGAGAAGCUUGCUUCUCUGAUGUUAGCGGCGGACGGGUGAGUAACACGUGGGUAACCUACCUAUAAGACUGGGAUAACUCCGGGAAACCGGGGCUAAUACCGGAUAAUAUAUUGAACCGCAUGGUUCAAUGUUGAAAGACGGUUUCGGCUGUCACUUAUAGAUGGACCCGCGCCGUAUUAGCUAGUUGGUAAGGUAACGGCUUACCAAGGCAACGAUACGUAGCCGACCUGAGAGGGUGAUCGGCCACACUGGAACUGAGACACGGUCCAGACUCCUACGGGAGGCAGCAGUAGGGAAUCUUCCGCAAUGGGCGAAAGCCUGACGGAGCAACGCCGCGUGAGUGAUGAAGGUCUUAGGAUCGUAAAACUCUGUUGUUAGGGAAGAACAAAUUUGUUAGUAACUGAACAAGUCUUGACGGUACCUAACCAGAAAGCCACGGCUAACUACGUGCCAGCAGCCGCGGUAAUACGU